rnacentral:lncRNA from 1 species
AUCCAUCCUACACAUUAGAAAGAAUAAGUGUAGUUCAUUGUAUGCUGAGUAAAGAAAUAGAGAAGCAAAGAGGUUUUGUUUAUCCCCAGGAAAGAAAGAUGGAGAAUUCCAUAAACUGCUUAAAAGAAGGAAGAUAAAAGUUUGAAAUGUCGAGAGUGUGUUUUAUAUCACACGUGAGCACUGCAUAGCAUAGAAGUUUUCAACCACUUUAAUUUUGCCCACAAAGAAGGCCAAGACACUUUCUGUAUCUGCAUAAUUUGAUAACAUCAGGCACUGUUACUGGAGAACUUUCAACUACUCUGGGUAAUGCCAAAGAUACAUUUCACUAAAACAGUAAUUAUGCUUCUGGACCUUUGCCUGGUAAAAUGGAAAAGAUAUAAAAUAUGUGCCUAGAAACUAAGAAGACCCCUCACAAACUAGGAAAAAUGGGGUCGGAGAGAAUAUCUCAAGGGUGCCUGGAAGAGGAUGACAUUGGUAUCUUAAUCUUAAAUUAGAUGUCUUUUCCCAUGGCAGCCUUACAGCUCUACUCCACAAUUAGGUAAGCAGUGGUGGGGCAAAUUGAAA